UACGAAGGGGGCUAGCGUUGCUCGGAAUCACUGGGCGUAAAGGGCGCGUAGGCGGGUCUUUAAGUCAGGGGUGAAAGCCCAGAGCUCAACUCUGGAAUUGCCUUUGAGACUGAGUGGCUUGAGUACGGGAGAGGUGAGUGGAAUUCCCAGUGUAGAGGUGAAAUUCGUAGAUAUUGGGAAGAACACCGGUGGCGAAGGCGGCUCACUGGCCCGUAACUGACGCUCAUGCACGACAGCGUGGGGAUCAAACAGG
rnacentral:rRNA from 1 species